AUUGAACGCUGGCGGAAUGCUUUACACAUGCAAGUCGAACGGCAGCACGGACUUCGGUCUGGUGGCGAGUGGCGAACGGGUGAGUAAUGUAUCGGAACGUGCCCAGUCGUGGGGGAUAACGUAGUGAAAAUUACGCUAAUACCGCAUACGAUCUAUGGAUGAAAGCGGGGGAUCGCAAGACCUCGCGCGAUUGGAGCGGCCGAUAUCAGAUUAGGUAGUUGGUGGGGUAAAGGCCCACCAAGCCAACGAUCUGUAGCUGGUCUGAGGGGACGACCAGACACACUGGAACUGAGACACGGUCCAGACUCCUACGGGAGGCAGCAGUGGGGAAUUUUGGACAAUGGGCGAAAGCCUGAUCCAGCCAUUCCGCGUGCAGGAUGAAGGCCCUCGGGUUGUAAACUGCUUUUGUACAGAACGAAAAGGUUUCUACUAAUACUAGGAGCUCAUGACGGUACUGUAAGAAUAAGCACCGGCUAACUACGUGCCAGCAGCCGCCGCUG
rnacentral:rRNA from 1 species